rnacentral:rRNA from 1 species
UACGUAGGGUGCAAGCGUUAAUCGGAAUUACUGGGCGUAAAGCGUGCGUAGGCGGUGUCUUAAGUUUGUUGUGAAAUCUCCCGGCUUAACCGGGAGGGUGCGGCGAAUACUGAGAUGCUGGAGUGCCGGAGAGGUAAGCGGAAUUCCUGGUGUAGCGGUGGAAUGCGCAGAUAUCAGGAGGAACACCGAUGGCGAAGGCGGUUCUCUGGGCAUUACCUGACGCUGAGGAGCGAAAGCAUGGGGAGCGAACAGG